rnacentral:lncRNA from 1 species
GCAUCGAAAAAGAAACGAAAACUGAAUAGCGAUAUCCUGCAGUCACCUCCUGGUUUGCAUAGAAUUUAUCCUACAGUAACCUGUCCCUCUCCAAGAACCCAAAGCUCUGGAUAAGGUCAAAGGAUGCUGAAGUAAUAGUGUUGUAGCAAUGUAGAAUACUAAGAAUCUAUAGCCAGCCAUCAUGACUGGUUCUCUUUUUGCAUGUGUACGUAACUUUGUUU